rnacentral:rRNA from 1 species
UAGAUNACCCUGGUAGUCCACGCCCUAAACGAUGUCAACUAGUUGUUGGGGAUUCAUUUCCUUAGUAACGAAGCUAACGCGUGAAGUUGACCGCCUGGGGAGUACGGUCGCAAGAUUAAAACUCAAAGGAAUUGACGGGGACCCGCACAAGCGGUGGAUGAUGUGGAUUAAUUCGAUGCAACGCGAAAAACCUUACCUACCCUUGACAUGUACGGAAGUCCGCUGAGAGGUGGAUGUGCUCGAAAGAGAACCGUAACACAGGUGCUGCAUGGCUGUCGUCAGCUCGUGUCGUGAGAUGUUGGGUUAAGUCCCGCAACGAGCGCAACCCUUGUCCUUAGUUGCUACGCAAGAGCACUCUAAGGAGACUGCCGGUGACAAACCGGAGGAAGGUGGGGAUGACGUCAAGUCCUCAUGGCCCUUAUGGGUAGGGCUUCACACGUCAUACAAUGGUCGGUACAGAGGGCUGCCAAACCGCGAGGUGGAGCUAACCCCAGAAAACCGAUCGUAGUCCGGAUCGCAGUCUGCAACUCGACUGCGUGAAGCUGGAAUCGCUAGUAAUCGCGGAUCAUCAUGUCGCGGUGAAUACGUUCCCGGGUCUUGUACACNCCGACCGUNACACCAUGGGAGUGGGUUUUGCCAGAAGUAGGUAGCCUAACCGUAAGGAG